UUCAAAUCUACUACCUCUAUUCGUCGCUCCCCGCUCAACUAUCCCUCCCUAUUCGAUCGAUAUAGCAUCUAGAACCCUUUUCUCCUUGUUGCAAAGCCAAAAUCAUUGGUUCUACUAGAUAGACAUUCGUAAGCACGAGAGAUUCAAUUCCAUAGCGUGGUGUUGAUAGAGGUUUUAGAUGGCGGGACCUACUGCUCUUCCUUUUUCUAUCGUCGUCUUCUAUGAAUCAUCCCACCAUCACCACCACCAGCAACAAAGAAAUGGAGUUCGAAGCACAUUCAAAUACCAUCUUUUAGUGCUGGGGUUGAUCAAGAGGGUCUGUCAAAUGAUAUGGAUGCACUUGGAAGUGAAGUAAGUAGUGGUUACGAAGAAAUGGCGUUCAACGCACAUCCAAAUACCAUUAGUGUCAAACCAGACUCCCUACGCUAGGAGUGGACAGAAGAUAGGAAAGAACAGUAAGCAAUAGGACUUUUUUUUUUAAUGGAAAAAAAAUGAGAAAUUUUUUUUUAACUCAUAAUUUGUUGUCUUUUUAAGGUUUUUACGUUCAUAUCUAGUCUUUAGAUUUAUGGGAAAAAUAAUUAUGUUCUUUUUCAAAUUUGUGUAGUUCAUGUUAAUUUAUAAAAAUAUAGUUUUAUUG
rnacentral:lncRNA from 1 species